rnacentral:rRNA from 1 species
UACAGAGGGUGCGAGCGUUAAUCGGAAUUACUGGGCGUAAAGCGUGCGUAGACGGUUAUUUAAGUCGGAUGUGAAAGCCCCGGGCUCAACCUGGGAAUUGCAUUCGAGACUGAAUAGCUAGGGUACGGUAGAGGGAAGUGGAAUUUCCGGUGUAGCGGUGAAAUGCGUAGAUAUCGGAAGGAACAUCAGUGGCGAAAGCGACUUCCUGGACCAGUACCGACGUUCAGGCACGAAAGCCGUGGGGAGCAAACAGGA